rnacentral:hammerhead_ribozyme from 2 species
CAGCUGUUCGGAGAUGUGUAUCUCCGCUGAUGAGUCCAAAAGGACGAAACGGAUG